UACGUAGGUGGCAAGCGUUGUCCGGAUUUAUUGGGCGUAAAGCGCGCGCAGGCGGUCUUUUAAGUCUGAUGUGAAAGCCCCCGGCUUAACCGGGGAGGGUCAUUGGAAACUGGAAGACUGGAGUGCAGAAGAGGAGAGUGGAAUUCCACGUGUAGCGGUGAAAUGCGUAGAGAUGUGGAGGAACACCAGUGGCGAAGGCGACUCUCUGGUCUGUAACUGACGCUGAGGAGCGAAAGCGUGGGGAGCGAACAGG
rnacentral:rRNA from 1 species